rnacentral:tRNA from 1 species
GGGGAUGUGAGACUAUCGAAACACAUCAACAUAAAAGCCUUAAAGACAGCCGUGGUGUCGCUCUUCAAUUCUUGGUUCUCCUGUGGUGCAUAAGAAACCCGCUACAUGCAGUGGAAACAACCUGGAGCUGAACACAAAGAUAAGAAAGGACAUGAUAGAGGAUUUUAGGAAGCAGGAGAUAAUCACAUUGCUGUCGUGGAGCUGGUGGACUGGCAUAAACAUCUCUCCUGACAUGGUCAGCCAACACAAACCCACUGGGUGGGGGUACAGGUCCGUUGGGCAGGCAGAGGUAUAGGACCUUUAGAUAUAGAGUAAAGGGGAUAUUCUGUAAGGCUAUCACUUUGUAGAUCCAAGACCAAGAAAACACAUUCCCCUCAGGAUCAAUAGAGCACCAGCAUGUCCUGCAGCACUGGAGUGUGUUUUAAACUAUGUGCCUUUUACUUUGCAGUACUUAAAGCUAAUUUAAUAUUUAGCAUGUAUUACCAAAAUGACCAAAAGAUAAACAGACUUUUCAGUAUAGAAUGAAUGUAAGCAAUGCAUGAUGGCUAAUGGUGUUUUAUUCGGUUGUAGUUCCAUGUAUUUCUUACAAAAAAAAAACAGUGUAAACCAUUUUUAUUGACCAGAAUGUAACUGAAAAUACAAUAGCAGCCUUGCCAUUGUCCAUCAAUACCAAAACAUGUUUUUUUUUUCGUAUAACAUUUUGGGAAAUGUAUGUUGUCAUUGUAGUCUUACAUUUUGUUGGCCAACCAAAAUGACCAAAACGUUAACCCGUAAUAAGGCUAGGGUGGAAUUGUACUAUGAGCUGGCUGAGUGUAAAUACAUGGCUCUGAGUGUAAACCUUUUCACUAGAAACCUAGUUGUGUUCAAAUUACCGUCUGUGCGAAAUAGCUAGAAAGCUUUCGUAUUUCAACUUGGCUACACUUACGGUUAUGAAAACGAUAAAUGACGUGCAAUACCUGCGUCGAUCUGUGACGAGCAGCAAAACCCCGGAAAGCUUCUAGCCUACCGGAAAGUUACUAGAAGAACAUUUUUACAUUUUUUUAAAACAUUUUAGUCAUUUAGCAGACGCUCUUAUCCAGAGCGACUUACAGUAGUGAAUGCAUACAUUUCAUACAUUUUUCCCCGUACUGAACAAGAAUUGUUACUUCAUCCGGUUAUGUGACAUUUGUUGUUUAUAGAUUUUUCUCCCACACCAGAUGUCUGGACCCUGGACAGAUAACAGGUAGGUCGUCAGUUCGUCCCUUGUUGUCAGAAAUACAGCAUACAUACAUACACAUUUGUUUUCGUGUUUGUUAAAGUGUUUGGUUUAAAAAACGCGUUAAACCAGUAAGGAAGGUUACGUAACUGCCAGGUCGCAAUUGUAAAUGAGAACUUGUUCUCAACUUGCCUACCUGGUUAAAUAAAGGUGAAAUAAAUAAAAAACUAAGGUGAAUAAAGAAAGUUGCAUACACAACAGAAUGUGUGGAUAUUUUUGUUGCAUUACUUGCAUGUUAUUCUCACUUAUUAUUUUAGCCACCUAUAAAUUAGGCUAUAUAUUCCCCUUUUUCAUUUUACAUUUUAGUCAUUUAGCAGACGCUCUUAUCCAGAGCGACUUACAGUAGACUGCAUACAUUUUUACAUACUGGCCCACCGUGGGAAUCGAACCCACAACCCUGGCGUUGCAAGCGCCAUGCUCUACCAACUGAGCUACAGUGGGACUCUUUGCAUCUUCAAAGAAAUACACAUUGCCACUCAAUCUGUAUAAAUCGUGUGACAUCUCCUUGGAAGAAGGAGAGAGGGACCCCAGGAGGGACGUGAAGGAGUUGAUGAAAUCCUGUUAAGACAAACAAUCAGGUGAGAGGAGGUCCUAACUAGUCAAUGAUCUAAAUUGAUCAAAACCUGUAGACACUAGCCUUUAAGGACUGGAGUUACACACAUGAACAACAUGAACAAGGAAGUGACAGACUAAUAGCGCAUUAUUGGUAAAUGGUGACACACUGACUGAUCUGCAAGUAAUAAUAAUAGAUAUGUAUUUGUUAUUCAAAGUGAUUUGUAGAUCAGUCAGUCUGCGUGUGGAGGAGGAUGAAGACCUUUAGUUACGUGCAGGACAUAGUAAAACACACGCUAUCAAUGACAUGCAGCUUUUCUCAUAGACAGGGGAGGUUACUAUGUGAAGGAAUGUGUUAGGAUUGGUAGUUGUCUCUUUAUGUUUCUUUUGAGAUGGUAUGGCCUCUGAGGACCCCCAAGACCAACUGGAUGAGGCUAUUAAAAAGGCAGAACGCCUUGCUGAGGAGCUCAACCAAGAGAAGGACCCACAAGCCCAACUGGACGAGGCCAUUAACGAGGCAAAAAGGCUGGCUGAGGAGCUCAACCCAGAACGGGAAAAUAAGAAAAAGACAAACAAGCCUCCAGGGAUUAGGUUCAGAUGGAGACAAAGGGAUGAGAGAGGACAGAUUGUUCCUCAAACCAGGAAGGCAACUACAUCCACUUCCCUUGCUCCAAGGGCCAGUACAUCAAGAGCCAGACUAGUGCAACCUUCUGGGCCAGUCACUGAGGAGGAAGAAUCAGAGACAAGGACCAGUGGAUUGGAAUCCACUCCAGUUUUAAACAUUGAUGAAGAAAUAGGUCUCUACAAUGUUACAGUGCCUGUGCUGACCUGCACAACCUGUCUUUGCACCUGGACAGCAAACUUGGCAGAUCUGAUAAAGAAUGGGUUCUGGCCUGCCACUGUCAACUGUGACACCAUAUACCAGGUAGAUGUGUUCAGCUCUUUUGAGGAGCUGAAAGUGUCAGCCCCAGGAAUGUCCCGUCUAGCGUUUAUACGGAUUUUGGAGCAGCGAACUGACUUCUUUGGCAGGGUAACAAUAAAUUAUACUGAGCUUUACCAAUGUAUGACUUCAGGUUAACUAUGUUACAUUUUGUUACAACACUUUGUGUAACAUAACUUUAUUUCCAGUACUACAACUACAUUAAAACUUCAGGUCUCUUGCUACAGGAUGUGUUAGCCUCCUGCACCACUGUCCUGCCAUGCCCCUUAUCUGUGCCCCUUAUCUGUGCCCCUUAUCUGUGCCCCUCUUGCAUCCAAUAUUUCCUGCUCUUUACAACAUAAGUACUCGUCCUACUUUUGCAUUGGCUUUCACCUGCCUUGCUGUCAACACUAUGUACUGGCCCUGCUUUAACUCAAAUCCAGUCAGCCAUAGUGAAUUAUAGUAUGUUUUGUUUAUACUAUUGUUGUAAGUUAUUUCAUAUAUGUUCUAUAUGUAUUUUUCCCUUACCAGAAUGGAAUGAUCUGUGGGGACACUUUCCAAAAAAGCUUCUUUGAGUGGACGUACUGCCGCUCUGAAAUUGAACAGGUCUGUGAUAUACAGUACUUUGACUGCCCAGCCUGUUCACCCAGCAUGCUUGCAGUGUCAGUGGACGGGAACAAGAAGCUGUAUCGAUUCAAAAAAGGCUAUGUAAAACUAUUCAUAAUUUAUUAAAUAACACCGUACUCUAUAUCAUUUAAACAAUCCAAACAAGGUUUGCCUUUUCUUUGUCCAGUGUGAACGUUUUCAAAUGCAGUUGAGUUCAUUUUAGCUUAAAUGUUUUGCGUUUGUAAUGAAAUUAAUUAUCAACAUUGUCAAGUGUCCACAAUCAGUUACUGAGGUUGAUUGCUAUUUCAUAUGUAAUAUAUUUAAUGUAUUUCACGUAUCCUUUCAAGGACUGAUGACAAAGGAUUCUUUGAUGGCGUGUUUAUCUGCAAGGACGAGGAUGUCUGACUUUGUGAACUAUGUCCAUACAAAGACUAAACAUUUACGUUUCCUGUGUAUCUUCUAAUCUGUGAAAUAGGACUGGCCUCGGGCCAUCUGACUCAAAGGCAGACUCGUUAUACACUAUUCCAAUAAAAACAUAUCAUUUUGGAGAUGGUAAUCCUCUCUCUUCAAGUCCAUUUGUCGUUACACUACUCCCUCUGUUCAGAAAUGCAACACACUUUACAAGUGCUUCUUUUUGAUAGUCGAUCUCCAUUGUAGCGAACAUAGGGGGUAGCUCAGCGCCCUCGGCUAGAUUUUAAAAACCUAACCACUGUCCCGUUAACACUCCCCCCCCAAAACAUUUUUUCUACCUAUACUCUUCUACUUCCUUGUCUAGGGUUAUGGAAAAGGGGUAUGUGGAGCAUCCCAGUGGACAGCAGCUAAAGAGUCAAGGAAAACAAACGACAACUUGAUGAAGAGGGACUCGAAGUUGCCGUCUGCCGCCACGGAAUACUUCUAAGGAGCCUCAACAUGAUGCGUGGAGAGAUAUUUGCGUACCCACUGUUCUUGCAGAAGGAAUUGUCUGGCAGCAGGAACAUACAAUUCAUGUGUACAGAUGUGAUCUGCAAAUUUUGGCCAUACCUGACCAAAGUUGCCCUUCAUUGUCCAGAGCUCGCCACUCUUCUAGACAUGAAGCCACUUCUUUCCGUCAUGCAUGCAAAGGCACAUCGUUUGAAAUGCGAGCAAGAACAGACAUGCUAACCAUCCAGGCCAUGGGGUGGAACAGAAGGAAGAAGAACAACCUGCACAGAGUAUUGUCCAGAAGAUACUUGAAGACAACAGCAAAAAUCCAGGAGGAGACCCAGACUCUUGAAAAGUUUAAGAGUGAUUUGGGUGUAGGCGAUGAGACUCUGUACAACUGGACAACGGAAGUUCAGCAAUGGGCUAAUACAGAGGAAACAAAUGAGAACAUGGAUGGUCCCCAGGUACUACAGAGAACAAUUGAAGUCCUGUUUCUGAGCAUCAAAGGAAACAGAACCUCUACCGUCAGACAGAUGGAUGCAAGAAAAGACACCCUCUGCGCAGAAAGAUAUUAGAAGAAUAGGCCAAAUUGACAGCUGCCAUAGAGGAGUACAACACCCUUGUACCAGAUGAGAUCCUUUCCGCAGACCUUCGUACCUGGCCUUGGGAGCUGCAUGGACAAACUGACCUACUCACAAAGAAAAUAGCCUUUGACCGGGUGAUGCUCCUGAGACGGCUGAAGGAGGAAGAGUUAAUUGUCCUAAAGGAAGUCAAGCAGCACUGGGAAAGCCUAAAGAGGGAAUCGGAGAAUGUGCAAGGCCUUGCUUCACAUGUGGCACCUGACCUAAGCAGGCAAAGCUGGCAAUUGAAUCAGUCGGAAGCUGGGAGCAGAGGUCUCUUCUCCAUGCUUCAGAGGAGAGUCAGCAGCCUCGAAAGACACCAGGACUCUGUCAAACUGAUAUACAGCAAGCUAUGGGCCAAGACACCUCCCUCCUAGAAAAUAACUUCAUAGAUGACCUCCUGGAAGAGGACCUAGAUGACAUCUAUGACAGCAUCCACUACAGCUUUGAUGACGAGGAAUCUAUCACAGACUGAAGGUGUUCGUUUGGGUGGGUGCAGUUUGCACUGGUUGAAAAGUGAUUCCAUUUGUUUUGCAUAUGUGCUUUAUCUGCCUUCCUAAGGAAAAAUAGUUUGAACAUUUUAUGAAAAAAAAACUUUUGUUUCUUCCUUGUUGACAAUGUGAUCAUGUGGCACAGAUUUGAGAAGGGCGCUCGUCUAUUACUGCUUUUGCCCGGUUACAUGACCAGGUCCGAUGCACCCCUUUAAAUGGCCAAUCUGCAGUUGCUACAUCCACUUUUGGAUUCUUGAAGAAUAUAAUUUAUAAAUGCCUCAUGAACAUAGUUCAACUGCCGUACCCCAUCAGAUCCCAAAAUAUAUAUUUUUAUCUACUCCAAUGUUUGUAAACAAAGUAAAUGUAAACUUACACUAGCAUGUGUCAAACUCAUUCCACGGGUGAGCCGAGUGUCUGCGGGUUUUUGCUCCUCAAAUGAUUGAUGAAUUAAGGUCACUAAUUAGUAAGGAACUCCCCUCACCUGGUUGCCUAGGAAAAACCUCAAACCAGCAGACACUAGGCUCUCCAUGGAAUGAGAUUGACACCACUGGACUAUAGCCUGGAAACAUGGUUUAAACUAUGGUUCCAUUUCUCCAGCCCCAUCCCUCUGCUUUUAACAGAACCACUGGACUAUAGCCUGGAAACAUGGUUUAAACUAUGGUUCCAUUUCUCCAGCCCCAUCCCUCUGCUUUUUACAGAACCACUGGACUAUAGCCUGGAAACAUGGUUUAAACUAUGGUUCCAUUUCUCCAGCCCCAUCCCUCUGCUUUUUACAGAACCACUGGACUAUAGCCUGGAAACAUGGUUUAAACUAUGGUUCCAUUUCUCCAGCCCCAUCCCUCUGCUUUUUACAGAACCAUUGGCAGGGAGAACGAUGUAUUGUUUCACCUGGUGAUUUCCGAUUUAAACAUUGUUAAACUGUAAUGUACUGUGCUUAUGUGUGCUUAUUAGUUUAGUUAAUAAAAAACUAAAAAAGGUCA